rnacentral:rRNA from 1 species
UACGUAGGGGGCGAGCGUUGUCCGGAAUCACUGGGCGUAAAGCGCGCUUAGGCGGCGCGGUGCAUCCCGUGUGAAAGCGCCCGGCUCAACCGGGCGAGGCCACGGGAGAUGGCCGCGCUGGAGGGCGGUAGAGGCAGGCGGAAGGCCCGAAGUAGUGGUGAAAUGCGUAGAGAUCGGGCGGAACACCGGUGGCGAAGGCGGCCUGCUGGGCCGGCCCUGACGCUGAGGCGCGAAAGCCAGGGGAGCGAACGGA